GUAGGUGGCGAGCGUUGUCCGGGAAUUAUUGGGGCGUAAAGCGCGCGCAGGCGGUUCUUUAAGUCUGAUGUGAAAGCCCACGGGCUCAACCGUGGAGGGUCAUUGGAAACUGGAGAACUUGAGUACAGAAGAGGAAAGCGGAAUUCCACGUGUAGCGGUGAAAUGCGUAGAGAUGUGGAGGAACACCAGUGGCGAAGGCGGCUUUCUGGUCUGUAACUGACGCUGAGGCGCGAAAGCGUGGGGAGCAAACAGGAUUAGAUACCCUGGUAGUCCACGCCGUAAACGAUGAGUGCUAAGUGUUAGGGGGUUUCCGCCCCUUAGUGCUGCAGCUAACGCAUUAAGCACUCCGCCUGGGGAGUACGGCCGCAAAGGCUGA
rnacentral:rRNA from 1 species